CAGUAUCUGAGAUGAACAACUUAUAACAGAACCUUUAUUUUGCCUCACAGUCUCAGAGGUUUUGGUCUAUGAAUGGGUGGCCUGGUGUCUUUUAGGCCUGUGGUGGCACAGUGAAUAGGUGCAGGAGCACAUAUUAGAGAAGGCUGCUUACCUUAUGACAGCUGGGAAGUAAAAGGAGAGGACUGGAGUCCCUAAAGCUCCCUUAAAGGCCACACCCUCAAGGACCUCACUUCCUCCCAUUAGGCCCUGCCUCCUGAAGAUUCCACCAUUUCCCAAUAACUCUAUAGAAUGAAAAAGUUUCAGCCUAUAGGGCUUUGGGAUGCAUUUAAGAUCCAAACCAUAACAAAGUCACAUUCAGAGAGCAAGUAAGAAUGAAGGUGAAGGUUACCCUAAAAGAGACCCGGCUCCUGGUGAUAUAUGUACUCACCCCAUUGCAAGCCCACAAAGUGACGGAUCAGUAGGUUUGCAAAUCUCCAGCGGUCUGCUGUUUCCAUUAGACAGUGUUGCAAGAUUAAACACAGGACAUUCUGUUAAAUGUGACUUACAGACACAGUUCCUCACUGAAUUCACCACCACUUGGCAAUGAAGAUCCUGGUGCACCCGUACCUGGCAGCUCUUUAUUCAAAGAAGGAAACCAGAGGGGGUUGAGGAUAUGCUCGCUUCAGCCCCGCUGCGAUGCCACUCAGCCAGCCAUUCCCUCCUCGGGGAAGAACACAGAAGGGAAUAGCACAGCUCUGAUACAGAGAUAUUCGCCUCACCACCGUCCCCUGUGCACCCUACUUCUGGCAGCGCAGAAUGUCAUGAGGGACCCAUCAGUCAUUUUCUUCUCUUCCUUGGCACUGACAGCAGGAUAAUAUUCUAGUUAUCUGCCCCCUGAGACUACUGAAUACCUCCCAGAAGCAUUACCUCCUCAGAGAAUGACAAGUUAACAGAGUUUCCUCAAUUAAAGGACAUUAUAUACAACGU
rnacentral:lncRNA from 1 species